ACUUUGGCAGCUCAUAUACUAAAAAUUAAAAAAAAAACUAGAACGAUACAGAGAAGAUUAGCAUGGUGCCUGCGCGAGGAAGACAUGCAAAUUGGCCAAGUGUUCCAUAUAAUU
ensembl:snRNA U6 U6 spliceosomal RNA